GAGCAAAACAAGAAGAGCUGUGUCACCAAGUUCCAUAAAAUCUGGGAGCCCAAGCAGCAUAUUUGUGGGAUUUGUCUGACAGAACGCAAUGGAAACAGAGCGUGGCAUUCGCUCCAUCUCCCCCAGCUUCUGCAAACAAGCUUCUCUUACUCUAUGUCUCCACCAAAUGAGGUACUUCUGCAUCUACUUCUGCUCACAGAACUGCCUAGGUGGUCCACCAAGGUAAAGGAAGAUUUUCAUGAUUCACUGACUGAGGACAAUCAAAUUCUUCACCACGUAGAACCUAGACAUUGGGUCUUUGGAAAGGACAUCAGAGAAAGACUGCCAUUAAGCUCCAUUGGAAGAGACCAUAUCAAGUUCUUUUCUGCAGCAAACCAUCAGGCUCUCAAGUCUUGGAUCUAUGUCUCUCAACUCAAAAGAGCUCCUCCAGACUCCUGGAACUGUAUACCUAUUGGAGACUCUAAGGUAAAGCUCACCAGGGAAGAUUUCCCCCAGGAGCAGUUGGCAUCCUAGACUUCAACAGCUUUCGUAAGAUUGUGGAUCAAGACUUCUCUGCCAUCAUGAAAGUCUUAUCUUUUCCCUUUCUUCCCAAUUUCCUGCUGUCCCAGUCCCUUUCUUUUACUUAUAGGAAAAUCCAUGGGGCCAUAAUCUGUGGAUGGCUUUAGCUAAGUCUUAUGCUGUAGUGAAAAAACAGAGCAAUUGUUGGGUUUAUGAAGAUAAGCUAGUUUCUACUGAGGAAAGAUUCCAGUGGCAUUCCUGGGGGCUCAGUCUUGGUACUAGCAGGGUACUGGUAGUAUGGAAUUUGAAAGUAAUCCAUAAAAUGAGAAAAAUCUUGGGUUUGACCAACCAGUCCCCACAGAGGUUCAGGUGAGUAGAAGUCAUCUUUUGAAAACACUUAAUAAAACAUCAUGCAGUUUUGGAUCCUGUUUCCUUAGACACUGCCACCAAAUACAUAAAGGAAAUUUCUCAGAGGAAAGAAACAUAUGACAUGUUCAUAGGAGCAGCAAACCAUUGGUUUGCAGGUAGGCUUGGCUUUUCCAAGGUGUUCUAACCUUUAUGCUCUUCUAAUGGUUCUCCAGAUUACUAUGACUUGUGUUAACAAGAUAAUGACAACAUUGGAUACCUCUUUAAAUCAGCAAACUGCAGUUCUUAAUCAUUAUCACCUCCUGAACAAAAACCAUGACCAACGGUACUCAAAUGCUUUUGAGCUGCCUGUAAGGGAGGAGACCACCCCUCAUAUUGUCUUAUGCCCAAUUUCUGCCUCCAAAUAAAGAAGAAGUAAAAACUAAAAGGCAGAAACGAAAUCCACAAGCAGACAGCCCGGUGCCACACCCUGGGCCUGGUAGUUAAAGAUCGAUGCCUGACCUAAUCAGUUAUGUUAUCUAUAGAUUACAGAUAUCGUAUAGGAAAGCACUGUGAAAAUCCCUGUCCUGUUUUGUUCCGAUCUAAUUACCAGUGCAUGCAACCCCCAGUCAUGUACCCCUGGCUUGCUCAAUCGAUCACAACCCUCUCAAGUGGACCCCCUUAGAGUUGUGAGCCCUUAAAAGGGGCAGGAAUUGCUCACUCAGGGAGCUCAGCUCUU
ensembl:lncRNA LINC02389 long intergenic non-protein coding RNA 2389